rnacentral:rRNA from 1 species
AUCAACCGAGAUUCCCCCAGUAGCGGCGAGCGAACGGGGAGCAGCCCGGAGUCUGAAUCAGCUUGUGUGUUAGUGGAAGCGUCUGGAAAGUCGCAGGGUACAGGGUGAUACUCCCGUACACUAAAACACACAGGUUGUGAACUCGAAGAGUAGGGCGGGACACGUGGUAUCCUGUCUGAAUAUGGGGGGACCAUCCUCCAAGGCUAAAUACUCCUGACUGACCGAUAGUGAACCAGUACCGUGAGGGAAAGGCGA